UCCCUACGGGAGGCUGCAGUGAGGAAUAUUGCACAAUGGGGGAAACCCUGAUGCAGCAACGCCGCGUGCGGGACGAAGGCCUUCGGGUCGUAAACCGCUUUUCUGGGGAAAGAGCAAGGACGGUACCUCAGGAAUAAGUCUCGGCUAACUACGUGCCAGCAGCCGCGGUAAAACGUAGGAGGCGAGCGUUAUCCGGAUUUACUGGGCGUAAAGCGCACGCAGGCGGCUCUGUGAGUCGGACGUGAAAGCUCCCGGCUUAACCGGGAGAGGCCGUUCGAUACUGCGGGGCUUGAGGUAGGGAGAGGAAUGCGGAAUUCCCGGUGUAGUGGUGGAAUGCGUAGAUAUCGGGAGGAACACCUGUGGCGAAAGCGGCAUUCUGGCCCUCACCUGACGCUGAGGUGCGAAAGCGUGGGUAGCAAACAGGAUUAGAUACCCGGGUAGUC
rnacentral:rRNA from 1 species